GUCUAUGGUCAUACCACCCUGAAGGCAUCUGAUCCCGUCUGUUCUUGGAAGCUAAGCAGGGUCAGAUCUGGUUAGUAUUUGGAUGGGAGAAAAUACACUCAAGGUUGACAGAGGCUGUGGGAU
rnacentral:rRNA from 1 species